AAACGAAGCGCAUGAAACGAAACAAGAAAACGAACAAAUUUCUCUCUCAUUCUUAAAAUUUCACUCGCCGCGAGCUGUUGUCGUUCGCGCCCGGAUAACGACGAUAUUUCAAAUUAACAGCGAGAUACCCCGCUAUGUGUUCACAACCCCGCCCGCCCGUUCCACACUAAAGUGCAACAAA